CGAACGCUGGCGGCGUGCCUCAUACAUGCAAGUCGAGCGGACGAAUCGAAAGCUUGCUUUUGAUUCGUUAGCGGCGGACGGGUGAGUAACACGUGGGCAACCUGCCCUGUAGACGGGGAUAACACCGAGAAAUCGGUGCUAAUACCGGAUAACACGAAAUGUCGCAUGACGUUUCGUUGAAAGACGGCGCAAGCUGUCGCUACAGGAUGGGCCCGCGGCGCAUUAGCUAGUUGGUGAGGUAACGGCUCACCAAGGCGACGAUGCGUAGCCGACCUGAGAGGGUGAUCGGCCACACUGGGACUGAGACACGGCCCAGACUCCUACGGGAGGCAGCAGUAGGGAAUCUUCCGCAAUGGACGAAAGUCUGACGGAGCAACGCCGCGUGAGCGAAGAAGGCCUUCGGGUCGUAAAGCUCUGUUGUUAGGGAAGAACAAGUAACGCAGUAACUGGCGUUACCGUGACGGUACCUAACGAGAAAGCCACGGCUAACUACGUG
rnacentral:rRNA from 1 species